rnacentral:rRNA from 1 species
UACGAGGGGUGGCAAGCGUUGCUCGGAAUUAUUGGGCGUAAAGGGUAGGUAGGUGGUCUCAUUUGUCUGAGGUGAAAGCCUUGAGCUUAACUCAAGAAGUGCCUUAGAAACGGUGAGACUGGAGUCCUGGAGAGGGUCGUGGAAUUCCCGGUGUAGCGGUGAAAUGCGUAGAGAUCGGGAGGAACACCAGCGGCGAAGGCGGACGACCUGGACAGGUACUGACACUCAACUACGAAAGCGUGGGUAGCAAACAGG